UGCAAUUUUUCAGCCUCUACA
rnacentral:siRNA from 1 species